rnacentral:lncRNA from 1 species
GGACUUAGACCUGCAGACACUUAUCACUGUUAGAUGGGCCCUUCCAAGAGAAUUUGUAAACAGAGAUCUUGCUCUCAGGAAAUUUAACAUUUAAUUCAUAGAACCCAAAAUCACAGCCUACAGAGAAAUGCACUUUCUUAAGGUAAUGUGUUCUGUUUGCCAGCACUUUGACACAAAGAGAAGUGCUGGCUUCAUAGAAAUAAUUAAUCCUCUUUUUCUGCCACUGGGAUAAACAAAGGAAAGAAAGAAAUAGAUGUUAUAAAAAAAUAAAAUCCAAGGCAGAUCAAAGGGGAUGUGGCGGAGGAUUCAGCAACUGCCACCCUUAAGCAAAGAACAGUAAUGAAGAAAUGAGUUUUGGCAGCCUAGCCAAUGGGAUAUGAAAGAAAUUAAUCCCGAAGGGAUGUAAUGACCUGAAAAAAAUGAUGAGCAAAGUCCAGAAGGAUUAGAAGAAAGAAAAAGGCAGCAGACAGAAUGGACUUCAGUGCAACAGGGAAUUAAACUGAAAUCAUUAAAUUCUUUCUGCUUAGCACUUUAGAGAAAAUUUCUAUCAGCCUGCCUAAGUGCUCACCAUGGGAAACUGAAACCAGGAAUUUAAUCUCAAAUUUCUGAAGACAUUCAGACUUAUCCAUUGUUCUAUGAAUCAGGAAUAUGUUAACAGAAGUUCUGGUUAUUGAAGAAUCUUCAGAAUGAAAAUCAAAUUAUGAAAUCCCCAGUUGUAAUAUUCCCACCAUGGGUGAAGUCUGCUGUCUGAUUGCUAGAAUUUUGGCCGAUGCCUUCUUGCACCUCUAUGAACCCGACUCCAGCCCCUCCCCUCUAAUUACUGCCCACAGUGAAGAGAGAAUUUCUGCCCACUCCCUGCAAGCCCAGGUUGGAAAUGUUUGAGGAGGCAUUUAUCAUGAAAGCCGUGGCCUUUGCUCCUAAAGCUUCGUCUCACAAGUACAAUAACAAAAACUGCUAAUUAAAAGAGGGAAAACAACCAGGAGUCAAACACAAAGGGGCAUCCCUGCCUCAUCAGCACAGAACAAUCGACCGGCUCCCUUCACUGCCCAUGCGAGGCUCCAUGUGAGGAAGCCUGCUCUGCCCUUCCAGGAAGCAGGUGUGGGAAUAGAAGGAGGCACCACUCAUCUUCUGCAGAAAAGCAAAAUGAAGACAUCAUCAGAGAGCAGCACUCAUUGGAAGUAGCUCCUCGGGUUCCCUUCUAAUGUCAGGGGUCUAACAGAGUGCCUAUACCAACUGGUGGGAACGUGUGUGUGUA